GAUGAAAGCUAGCUACAGGCUUAACACAGGCAAGUCGAGGGGUACCAAGAGAAAUGCUUGCUUUUCUUGUUGACGACCGGCGCACGGGUGAGUAACGCGUAUCCAACCUGCCUAUAACUAGGGAAUAACCUUGCGAAGGUAAGACUACUGCCCUUUGACUUCCUUUGGCGGCAUCAAAAAAGGAAUAAAAAUUUAUCGGUUAUAGAUGGGGAUACAGCUGAUUGGCGUGUUGGCGGGGUAACGGCACACCAAGUCAACGAUCAGUAGGGGUUCUGAGAGGAAGGUCCCCCACAUUGGAACUGAGACACGGUCCAAACUCCUACGGGAGGCAGCAGUGAGGAAUAUUGGUCAAUGGGCGGAAGCCUGAACCAGCCAAGUAGCGUGCAGGAUGACGGCCCUAUGGGUUGUAAACUGCUUUUAUACAGGGAUAAAGUUAGCCACGUGUGGUUAUUUGCAGGUACUGUAUGAAUAAGGACCGGCUAAUUCCGUGCCAGCAGCCGCAGUAG
rnacentral:rRNA from 1 species